UUUCCAUUAGGGCCAAGGCUGCCCCUAGCAGCUAUACAGCCAUCCUCAUCUGUUCCAUCAAACGCCGUGUUCAAUGCCUCUGGAAAUUCACAGCCCAGUCUCAAUCAAAUGCUGAGGUCUGUGUCGGGGCCUAGCUCUGGUUUAGGUUGAAACAGAAAAAUGUAAAUUGGUAAUUUAUGGCUAAUUAAAUGUUGGCUACUGGCUCACUUUCUCUGCUGCAACUGGGAUGGAGGAUGAUAUUAGCCGGGACAAAGAAAGUUUCGUCGGCCCUGGCUUUUGAAGUUUUGAUCUGAAUAUAUUCCUCGGUACAGUUUGCAGGGCUUGUAACAGUAUGCACCCUAGUGAUUGGAUUAAAUUAUCAACUGUCGCAAUGGAUUAGGAAAAUUUAUUUUUCAAAUGAAUAAUCCCAUUAUAGAAAAUGUGCC
rnacentral:misc_RNA from 1 species